rnacentral:rRNA from 1 species
AUGGAUAAUGCUGCCUAUGCAUAUAGUGAACACAAAUUUAACAUUGCAAUGAAUGACCUUAGAGCUGAAUGUGAGCAAGCUUGGGAGUGGCUUUGUCAAAUACCCAAGAAACCAUGGGCAAGGCAUGCAUUUGACACAAACAGCAAGACUGACCUUGUAGUUAACAAUUUGUUUGAGGUGUUCAACAAGUAUGUCCUAGAUGUUAGGAAGAAACCAAUUAGGACAAUGUGUGAUGGAAUAAAGGAUAAGCAGAUGAUGAGGUGGCAUAGGAAUAGGGAGAGUGGAAAGAAUGCUAGAUGGGACAUAACACCCCAUUAUAGUGAGAAGCUAGAGGUUGAGAAGGAGAGGGCCAAAUAUUGCAAACCAAUUCAAGCUGGUGUGGACUUGUGGCAAGUUACAAGUGGGCAGCAAACCCAUGCUGUUAACUUGCAAUUGCACACAUGUGGGUGCAGAAAAUGGGACCUUAGUGGCAUCCCAUGUAACCAUGCCAUCUCAACAAUAAACAAGGGCAAAAGAAAACCAAAGGAUUAUGUCAGCAAGUUCUUCAAGAAAGCAUUUUAUGUGGCAGCUUAUGAACCAAUGAUCUAUCCAGUUCCUAGUGAGCAUGACUGGACAAGGACCCCUGGUCCAGACAUUGAGCCACCUGCAUUUAAAGUGAAGAGAGGAAGAAAGAAAGAGAAGAGGAUCAAGGGGAAAUUUGAAGUUCCAAAGCCUAAGGACACAUCAAGAAUGGAGACUAUAACAUGUGGCAAUUGUGGACUGCAAGGACACAGGUAA